rnacentral:rRNA from 1 species
GACGAACGCUGGCGGCGUGCUUAACACAUGCAAGUCGAACGCUGAAGCCUAGCUUGCUGGGUGGAUGAGUGGCGAACGGGUGAGUAACACGUGAGUAACCUGCCCCCUUCUUUGGGAUAACGCCCGGAAACGGGUGCUAAUACUGGAUAUUCACUGAUCUUCGCAUGGGGGUUGGUGGAAAGGUUUGUUCUGGUGGGGGAUGGGCUCGCGGCCUAUCAGCUUGUUGGUGGGGUGAUGGCCUACCAAGGCUUUGACGGGUAGCCGGCCUGAGAGGGUGACCGGUCACAUUGGGACUGAGAUACGGCCCAGACUCCUACGGGAGGCAGCAGUGGGGAAUAUUGCACAAUGGGCGAAAGCCUGAUGCAGCGACGCCGCGUGAGGGAUGGAGGCCUUCGGGUUGUAAACCUCUUUCGCUCAUGGUCAAGCCGCAACAGUGGUUGUGGUGAGGGUAGUGGGUAAAGAAGCGCCGGCUAACUACGUGCCAGCAGCCGCGGUAAUACGUAGGGCGCGAGCGUUGUCCGGAAUUAUUGGGCGUAAAGGGCUUGUAGGCGGUUGGUCGCGUCUGCCGUGAAAUCCUCUGGCUUAACUGGGGGCGUGCGGUGGGUACGGGCUGACUUGAGUGCGGUAGGGGAGACUGGAACUCCUGGUGUAGCGGUGGAAUGCGCAGAUAUCAGGAAGAACACCGGUGGCGAAGGCGGGUCUCUGGGCCGUUACUGACGCUGAGGAGCGAAAGCGUGGGGAGCGAACAGG